CAGUAGCCGCGGUAAUACGGAGGGGGCUAGCGUUGUUCGGAAUUACUGGGCGUAAAGCGCACGUAGGCUGCUUUGUAAGUCAGAGGUGAAAGCCCGGGGCUCAACCCCGGAUGUGCCUUUGAGACUGCAGGACUAGAACGUCGGAGAGGUGAGUGGAAUUCCGAGUGUAGAGGUGAAAUUCGUAGAUAUUCGGAAGAACACCAGUGGCGAAGGCGGCUCACUGGACGACUGUUGACGCUGAGGUGCGAAAGCGUGGGGAGCAAACAGGAUUAGAUACCCCUGUAGUCCCUGUCUCUUAUAC
rnacentral:rRNA from 1 species